UACGGGGGGGGGUAAGCGUUGUUCGGAAUUCCUGGGCGUAAAGGGCUCGUAGGCGGCCAACUAAGUCAUACGUGAAAUCCCUCAGCUUAACUGGGGAACUGCGUGUGAUACUGGAUGGCUUGGAUUUGGGAGAGGGAUGCGGAAUUCCAGGUGUAGCGGUGAAAUGCGUAGAUAUCUGGAGGAACACCGGUGGCGAAGGCGGCAUCCUGGACCAAUAUUGACGCUGAGGAGCGAAAGCCAGGGGAGCAAACGGG
rnacentral:rRNA from 1 species